UAAGGAAUGGGAUAAGGAAAGAGAACCACACACAACCAAUGCUUCAGAAAAAAACUCAUCAAUUAAAGAAAAAGGGAGGAGGAAAAAAGGAAAAGGGGCUCCACUGAAAAAGACGAACAGAUAUGAGUGGCUCACAACUUGGGUACUGAAAUUGCUUUGCUAUUUCUAUAAUACCAGAUAUAGAUGAUGCAGGUCAACCGAGGACGAAUCCAGUAGGCUAGAGACUAUAGAUAAUCCAUUUCAUGUGUUUUACUUGAUAUGUAUGAAAAUGUUUAGGUUUUACUAUCAGUUUUCGAAGUAAAUGGUUUAUAUCAGUGGUAACUCCUGUGAAUUGAGCUGUCGAUGUGUGGUGUUACAAGUUUGGUAUCAGAAUCUUACUAGUUCUUUCUAGUUUCCUCCAUCCAACAACCAAAUCCCAACUAGUCUAAAGGUUUCAACGGAAAUGAACCAAUACCUUUCCAAUCCAAUAGAAUCUAAUCCAAAUUCUCCCAAAGAUUUGAAAACAGGAUAGAACAGGAAGUUACCGUGAA